rnacentral:rRNA from 1 species
AUUGAACGCUGGCGGCAUGCCUUACACAUGCAAGUCGAACGGUAACAGGUCUUCGGAUGCUGACGAGUGGCGAACGGGUGAGUAAUACAUCGGAACGUGCCCGAUCGUGGGGGAUAACGAAGCGAAAGCUUUGCUAAUACCGCAUAAGAUCUACGGAUGAAAGCAGGGGACCGCAAGGCCUUGUGCGAACGGAGCGGCUGACGGCAGAUUAGGUAGUUGGUGGGAUAAAAGCUUACCAAGCCGACGAUCUGUAGCUGGUCUGAGAGGACGACCAGCCACACUGGGACUGAGACACGGCCCAGACUCCUACGGGAGGCAGCAGUGGGGAAUUUUGGACAAUGGGCGAAAGCCUGAUCCAGCCAUGCCGCGUGCAGGAUGAAGGCCUUCGGGUUGUAAACUGCUUUUGUACGGAACGAAAAGACUCUGGUUAAUACCUGGGGUCCAUGACGGUACCGUAAGAAUAAGCACCGGCUAACUACGUGCCAGCAGCCGCAGUAAUAC